GCCGCAGCAAAACGCAUUAAGUGCCCCGCCUGGGAGUACGGCCGCAAGGCUAAACUCAAAGGAAUUGACGGGGGCCCGCACAAGCGGCGGAGCAUGCGGGAUUAAUUCGAUGCAACGCGAAGAACCUUACCAAGGCUUGACAUGCACGAGAAGCCACCAGAGAUGGUGGUCUCUUUUGGACACUCGUGCACAGGUGGUGCAUGGUUGUCGUCAGCUCGUGUCGUGAGAUGUUGGGUUAAGUCCCGCAACGAGCGCAACCCUUGUCCCAUGUUGCCAGCGGGUUAUGCCGGGGACUCAUGGGAGACUGCCGGGGUCAACUCGGAGGAAGGUGGGGAUGACGUCAAAUCAUCAUGCCCCUUAUGUCUUGGGCUUCACGCAUGCUACAAUGGCCGGUACAAAGGGCUGCGAUACCGUAAGGUGGAGCGAAUCCCAAAAAGCCGGUCUCAGUUCGGAUUGGGGUCUGCAACUCGACCCCAUGAAGUCGGAGUCGCUAGUAAUCGCAGAUCAGCAACGCUGCGGUGAAUACGUUUCCGGGCCUUGUACACCCCGCCCGUCAAGUCUCGAAACUCGGUAACCCUAGAAGNCCACANCGUAACCGUUNAGNUUGAUACCUGUNUCNNUCCAUCUCNCNNGNAUNG
rnacentral:rRNA from 1 species